rnacentral:antisense_RNA from 1 species
AAUAACCGAAGAUUAUUGCUGGGUUGAGUGUUGGAUUGGUAAUGACGCGAACAUCGCCACCACCUGGCGCCCAGGUGUCAUACACACCACCGAAGAACAUUGCCUUCAGUACUAACAGCAGUGCACCGACUCCCAAGAUAAUCAGGUGGAACCCGAUGAUGUUGGUCAUCUUGUUCUUGUCUUUCCA